UCUAUAAGAGCUUUCAAGUAUUGGUCUUGUAAACCAAAGAAAUUACAUUUUUAUUGUAAUUUAUAGAU
rnacentral:tRNA from 1 species